rnacentral:rRNA from 1 species
AGAGUUUGAUCCUGGCUCAGGAUGAACGCUGGCGGCGUGCCUAAUACAUGCAAGUCGAACGCUUUGUCUUUAAUUGAUCUGACGAGCUUGCUCUGAUGUGAUUUUAUCUGACAAAGAGUGGCGAACGGGUGAGUAACACGUGGGUAACCUACCUCUUAGCAGGGGAUAACAUUUGGAAACAAGUGCUAAUACCGUAUAAUACCAACAACCGCAUGGUUGUUGGUUGAAAGAUGGUUCUGCUAGCACUAAGAGAUGGACCCGCGGUGCAUUAGCUAGUUGGUAAGGUAACGGCUUACCAAGGCGAUGAUGCAUAGCCGAGUUGAGAGACUGAUCGGCCACAAUGGGACUGAGACACGGCCCAUACUCCUACGGGAGGCAGCAGUAGGGAAUCUUCCACAAUGGGCGCAAGCCUGAUGGAGCAACGCCGCGUGUGUGAUGAAGGGUUUCGGCUCGUAAAACACUGUUAUAAGAGAAGAACGGCACUGAGAGUAACUGUUCAGUGUGUGACGGUAUCUUACCAGAAAGGAACGGCUAAAUACGUGCCAGCAGCCGCGGUAAUACGUAUGUUCCAAGCGUUAUCCGGAUUUAUUGGGCGUAAAGCGAGCGCAGACGGUUAUUUAAGUCUGAAGUGAAAGCCCUCAGCUCAACUGAGGAAUGGCUUUGGAAACUGGAUGACUUGAGUGCAGUAGAGGAAAGUGGAACUCCAUGUGUAGCGGUGAAAUGCGUAGAUAUAUGGAAGAACACCAGUGGCGAAGGCGGCUUUCUGGACUGUAACUGACGUUGAGGCUCGAAAGUGUGGGUAGCAAACAGGAUUAGAUACCCUGGUAGUCCACACCGUAAACGAUGAGUGCUAGAUGUUCGAGGGUUUCCGCCCUUGAGUGUCGCAGCUAACGCAUUAAGCACUCCGCCUGGGGAGUA